GACUAACUGCCCUGUUGUGAGGCUGGGAGUGCAAGACACUGUGACGGGGACAGGGGUAGAGCUGCACACUGAGUCCCUGAGUGCUGCUUUGCUGGCGAAUGAGGGUUUCAGAGCUGACCACUGAAGGAAAGUUCUGUGAAGGACUACCAGGUCAUGCAGGUGACAGGAGCUCCAUGCGAUUUGAUUUCCCGUGUGACUGCAGGGUGCUCCUACCAUAUAGGAGUCGGUCAAGCCCUGUGUCUCUCCACUGUCACCUGUGCUGCCACCAUGCUCUCCCAGGGCUCAGAAUGGGUGCAGGAAGGCCACCAGGGCUGGGGUAGGUGGAGAGGUGAUCUUGGACUUGCCAGGUGGGCCUAAAUGGAAUCACAAAGGCCCUUCCUUGCAAGAGGCAGGUGGGCAGUCAAAGAGAAGUUGCUCUGAAGAUAGAGGAAGGGGCUAGGAGUCAAGGAAUGUAGGUGAUCUCUACAGGCUGGAAAGGGCAAGAAACAGAUGCUCCAGAGGGAACCAGUCCUGCUGACAGCUUGGAUUUAGCCCUAUCAGACUCAUUUCAGAUUUCUGGCAUCCAGAGCUAUUGAAGAAUAAAUAUGUCCUGCCUUAAGCUGCUCUGUUGGCAGUGGUUUGGUACAGCAGGAAUCAGAAACUACUAUGGGCCCUAGGCUCCCAACAUCAGCUCCAUCCAAACCAGCCUCUCCUGUGGACACUGCUGUGGCAUCUCUGAUCCAUGAUGGUGGAAAGUCAGCAUGGAGGUGGCAGUGCUGCCAGUAGAAGCCAGGAAAACCUACUGCUUGACCAUUUUCUUCUUUCUACACUACUGAGGGCCUCUCAAGGUUUCAGGAGGCUCCUGGGCCCUGAGAUGGAGGCUCCUUGAAUACCAGGCCCCCAUCUUCUGGAAAGGAACCCCAGCAGGAAACCAAAACUUCUUGCAAACUUCAGUAGCGAUGUCACAAGUGAUGGCUGCAUUUCCCCCGUCCCAUCAGGAUUUCUAAAGCAUUUGGGUUCCUCUCAACACACAACUAUUUAUGGAAGUGGAUCCAUCCGGCUUGCUGCGUGCGAUCAGGGAGGUCCUGAGCAGAAAGAAAUGGCCUCUGAGAAGGCGGAAUGACGGCUUUCCUGGGAAAAUUGCUCCAACCGAGACUGGGCUCUGAAUGUGUAAGCACCAAAAGACUCUUGUUUGAAAACGUGUUCUUGUUUUCCUGACAGUUUCCUGACAGUUCCACUGUGCUUCAGUGCAUUCACUUUGCAUCCCCUCCUCCUAGUCUAUGAUACAGAAGAGAUUUUAUCAGGAAAUGCCUGCCAGGGUAGAUGUAGCUCUAGGAAAAAUCACCUUUGAUAAACUCCAAUGCCAGUCUCUUACUACUAUUUUACAUUUCUCCGUGUUUUCACGUGCUCUCUAAACGACAGGUGACAAUGUAAGAAUCUGCAUCCAUCCCCGGAUGGAGCCCUCAUCUGCACCUGGCUGGGGCUGCGAGGGUCAGGCAGCACCUGUACCUUCUCUCCAUACUCGGACCCCAUCUCCCAUCUCUUCCCACUAGCUGCAGGCUUUACACUGCCUGCUGCAGAAAUGCCCUUUGAGGGGAGCAGCCAGAGAUGGUUAAUGAUCACAGGAGAUGUAAACAAGCUCUGGCACCAACACACACCAUGCCAGUCCCCGGGGCCCCCAGACCUGUCCCCACAGCUCUGGGCUGGCACUUUGUGGCAGCGUGCUUUGGGAUCAGUUCCCAGAGCCACCCUCAGGGACUGCAAUGGCUGCAUACAGGCCAUUCUUUGGACUUUGUGCAGAGGGGUAAGGGGAGCAGGCCAACCUCUGGUAGGCACCUGACAGACUUUCAGAACUUCCUAGGGUGACUGGGGCUGACAAAUGGGGCUACUGCCCAGGGAGAGAAGCUCAGGUGUUUAUUGGGACUUCCAAGGACAGUCACUAUGUCCUGCUCAGAAACUCACCAUCACUGCCUCUCUGAGGGUCUACCUUUCUCCUUGAUGCUCUUGGGGAUGCAACUGUCAGGUUGAGCUUUCUUAGGGUGGGGGGAGGGAGUAGAGUUGAGGAAUGGGACUGUGACAAGCCGAAAUAGGCCGAGUAGGUGGGCGGGGAUAGCCACUCUCUGCAAAGUCUCUUCUGUAGAAGACCUGCAGAGUUCCAGGCUGGUUUCUGCCCCCUCAGCCAAAUACAUAUACAGAUGCUUGAUGUGGUCCAUUUUGGUCACUCCCCUCCCCCACCCUGGGCCUCUCUAAGGAACCAACUCUGGCAAAUAAAAUAAUGAAUCAUAAAUUUUAUUUCAAAAUGUAAACGUCACUAAACAUGCAUACACGUUAAAACAAUAAAAUUUACAAUUUAGUUAUUAUUUUUUUUUUUUGCAUAGGACAUCAUUACAAUAUAGAAUCUAUGCCAUACAAAAUACAUACAAAGUUUUAUCCGAGCAAGCCAAGGCCAGAUUGGGAACUGUACAACUGUAAUACUUCACUGUAGUGAUCCAGGAAAGAUGAAACAUGGCCUUUGGAAGCAUGGUGUGGUGCUGGUUAAAAAGAAAAAAAAAAGUUCCUACAGAAAAGGAAAACGUAUGCUCCAUGGAAAUGGUCUUGGACCCUUGGAGUCUGCCUUGCGAUUUUGGCAAACGAUUCCAGAGAAGCUCCGUCAGUGGCUUUGGAUGAGGAAGGGGUCAUUUGUGUGGGUUUGAGAGUAUCUGACUCAUGCACCUGGCACACCCCCACAAGCUAUUCCCCAUCAUGUGGAAACACAGCAAGCCCCAUACCCCACAAUGCAUAGCUCACACUGAUACCAUUGAGCCCUUGAGAUCCUCAGCACUAGGCACAAGGACUCUCCACGGUGAGGCUAGGGAGCGAAGCCGCCUGCCUGCACACCAGCACCCUGAGUGGGUACAGCUGCCACACCGCUCCCCACACUGGGAAGUGGCCCCAUCACCUCCCACACAGGGCGGGCUGGGGACAGAUCCAGCUAGUACACCCAGGCCUUGUGCUCUGAGUGGGAGGGAUGAUCUCCUGCCAGACCUGUGGUUGUCCUGCAGGCAUUCAGCUCACAUCCUUGGGUUUCUAAAUGAGCAUGUACAGCAUCCUGUCAACGUCACUAGGAAAAGGCCCCCACAUCCCUGGAGCAAGCUGUACAUGUGGUCCACUCUCCUCUUGUUCAUCUUUAAAUAAAAGGAGUAAGGUUUUAAAGCUGCAUAAGAAGUGGAGAGGUUGGCAGGGCCAGCUGGCCACACCACAAGGCCAACAUUGCUCCAGGGGGUCAGUGCAGGCCAUACAGGUACACUCCUCUGCCCUCACGGAUCCGGAGCUCACAGUUCCCACCAAAUCCAAUCUUCAAACCAACAAGGGACAUGACAGUGUGUGGGGAAAGGGCAUUGCCCUAAAUGACGUUCAGGCAUUUAUCAGUAGUAGUAAGCUGGAUUGUGCAUCCAAAUUCUGGUACAAAAUUCUCUGGAAUGUGUCUUGGACAAACCUUUGAAACCGAGCCUCAGAACUGGGAAUGUCAGCUGGAGGAGCUGGCUCCUCCCAGAGCAAUCCUGCUUUCAGAAAGCAUCAACCCACAUCCUUGAUUUUAGGUUUGGAAAAUAUGGUCACUAGACUCACAUAUGGAAUCUUUGGGUAGCGGAAGAUGUGGGUGACCAACGAAGCAUCUCUGUCUUCGAUGUGACCGCUACAUCAGACCCUUUAUAUCGUCCAGCACUGUUUUUGACUGAGUUUUUGCAAAAGGGUUUAAAAACAACAAAAAAUCAGUGAUACCUGCCAGAAGCCAAAAUAAUCAAGGAUCCUUGUAAACAGCCCAAACCAGGAGUCAAAAUAACAAGGGGAGGCUAUUGCUCAGAUCACACUUUCUUGUUAGGUGGCACUCCUGCUGAGACUACGGAUGAAGUCCCUAGGGAGUGUGCUAGGACCCCGUGCAGUCCAUCUUAGCACCUGCUUCUGGCAAGAAAGGAGGCUGGGUCUUCUGUAGACUCUGGGCUGGAUGGCAGAAAGUUGACUGGAGACCCCAGUUCUGCCACACUUCACUUGGGACCACAGAAAGCCACCAACCCUCUCUUCAUGUCCCAACAAGUGGGCUGGGGGCCACCUGUGGCCUGCCUGUCCCUACCUCCAAGUCACUCUCCACUGGUCUAAGAUGUGACCCAGGGCAUAGGUGAGAUCUGGGGACCCAGUCCCACUGACGUUUGCACCUGGUGGCUGCACCUACCAGGUUGCAUGCCCUCAGAAUAAAGGGUGGGUGGUGUCCUGCACCUCCAGUGCCAUUUGUGGGGGUGUGGUGGGAUGCAGGUAGGGUACCUCCAGGACUACAUUCCCAUCAAGGGCAUCACUGCCUGGUCCUACAUAGCACCCUACAGAAGAGGACCCCGGGGUCCUUCGUGGAAACAUCUGUGUUCAUGUUUCUUUCUGGAUGGCUGUAGGAUUCAGUGGGCCUAUGGGGGAGCCGACAACUGGUCCACAAAUGUGGCUGAUGCAAAAAGGGGCUUUCUUUUUUGGGAUGUGAGUUAAACAGCAGCCCCUGAUGCUUGAGUCCAGGGAUGGUUUUAGGACUUUUUGGAGGAAACUCUCCCUUUGUUCAGGAAACCUUCAUUUUGAGAUUUCUGCCCCCUUGGCCUGUGAGAACAAGUCUGCUACAAAAUAAAGGUUUGAGUUUUCUCUAUUAUGUCUAGGAGUCCUAUGGGUUCUUCAAUCACAUUGAAGCCAGCAAGGAUGGCCAUUAACCAGAAAAAUGAAAGACCCUGAAAUAGACCCAGGCUGGGAAAACAUUCUACAUCUUAGAAGAAAAUGCAGGCUGUUUCAGGAAGGUCUGCCCCACAUAACUGCUUUCAGUGAGGGCCCAAGGGAGGUGGCUUUCCGCGGCCCACCGCCCCCCUCCACGAGCACUCAUUUCAUGAUGAUCAGAUGCCAGUGAGAGCCCAUGUAAACUUCGCCGGAGGCUCAUGGAUUUUUCCCACCCUUCAAGUGAGAUGAAUAUCAGCCCCAGAUGAGUCAGGAUGGUCUGAUGGAAGCUCCAGGCCAAGUGCCCAGGGAUGCCAGAAGGGAAUUCCCUCCAGGUGCCCCACCUCCCAAGCCAGGCCCAGAGCGGAAGGACUGCACCCUGCUAUUAGAUCAGAACCACUUUGGGAAUGAAGACACACUCAUUUGCCAAAAAUAGCCAAUGCCUGCAUAUUUCUGUUUUAAGGCAAUGUUACCUUUCCAUCUAUCAGACGGAACAGCCCUGGGUCAUUCAGAGGAAAAAUUAAAUUAAGUGCUCUCUUUGGAAACAGCAAACACCCGUGUUCCCUCUCCCACCCCCCACCCCGCCGCUAAAACAAACCAGCUCUUCUUUUAUUCCAAGAUGACUGGGUUUAUAGAGUCCUUACUCCCCUUCCUAUGUGCAGACAGAUGUGGGGUUAGAAACCCUCCUUCUGAGAUGCCAGUGGGCAGAUCACAAGGAGAAACCUGGCUUCUCCAGGGGAUAGCACUGUGUGGCCUCCCAGAGACACACAGCUCCCUCUCCCUGCCUUCGGGGACCCAUGGACGGCGAGCACACCAAAGGACUUUGGAAUAAAAUUCCUGAACCUGGAAUGUGAGUUCCUGAGACGUGAAAUGUAUUCAGUGUGGCUUUCUAUGCCUCACACAGAAACAACUUUGGGAGGGGCCUCCGAGGGCCUUCCAGGCCUCACUUUGGAACUGGGCAUAAAGAUCUUUCACCCCAAGCACUCAGGGUGCUCUUCUGUCCAGGUCUCUAUAGGAUAUUCUACUCUCUCUCCCAGACCAAACGCAAGCAGGGCUGUCAUGCAGCCCAAAUGGGGCACAGCAGCCAGGGCAGUCAGCCCUGCAUCUGACCCCCAUCUCUGUGGGCUUCCAUCCACAGCAAUAACAAUGCUACUGCAUUGUUAUUGGUACCUAACAUGCUACUCAGAAGCCACCACCAUGCCACUGGCUAAUCCUAGGUGACACACAGUAGAGUUAGAAAGGGGCAUCCAAGUGUUACAGACAGCAGAUUGCCAUCCUUGUGGUCACUAUGGACAGAGGGUGCUGGCCUAAAGCUGCAGCCAAGGGCGAUUAGCACCAGCCAGGCCGGGGUCCCUUGGGCUUCUCUGUGCUGCACCCCAUGCCCUGUAGGUCAGGGUGCAAGCAGGAUGGCCACAACCAAGGCACUCUGGGCCCAGGAAGCCCAUCUACAGCCCUCUGAGAUCCCAAGGGUCAUUCCUCCUCACCAAAAAGAACAGAGGUCUCUGCAAAAUACC